rnacentral:lncRNA from 1 species
GGACAGGGGUGGUAUAUGUAGGCCCCCCCUCUAUCUCUCUGGACCUACCUAUACGGAGGGCAGGGGUGGUAUAUGUAGCCCCCCCCUCUCUCUCUGGACCUACCUAUACGGAGGGCAGGGGUGGUAUAUGUAGGCCCCUCCUCUCGCUCUCUGGACCUACCUAUACGGAGGGCAGGGGUGGUAUAUGUAGGCCCCCCCUCUCUCUCUCUGCACCUACCUAUACGGAGGGCAGGGGUGGUAUAUGUAGGCCCCCCCUCUCUCUCUCUCUGGACCUACCUAUACGGAGGGCAGGGGUGGUAUAUGUAGGCCCCCCCUCUCUCUCUCUGGACCUACCUAUACGGAGGGCAGGGGUGGUAUAUGGGAUUGGACAGCUUGGGAGAACGAUAGAGGGAGCAGGAGAGGACAAAACACUGCAGGAGGGUAAAAAAUAAAGGAAAGAUGUGCUAUGAAGGAUAAGGAUUUUGUGAGUGAUUGUGCAAAAGCAAAACGAUGUGGGCAUACCCUCUAUCUAUAUACUUCUAUCCAUCUAUAUUAAAAUGUUGUAUAUACACUAUCUGACACUACACCAUCUGACCCAUAGAAAUAUAAUCUAUAGAUAUGCCAUCAUUGACUUGAAUUGGGAGGCCUGUUCUACACAUUCCAUUUCUAUGCGCUCACUUACGUAUUGUCAUUUAUUUAUAAUGGCACAACUACUCUGCACUAUAAUGGUAAAGGAGAAAUGAAUGUUGGAUAGAUCUGCAUAGAGUUUGUAGUGGGAUAUUGUGUGGAGCUACAGUGACAAAGUGCAAUUUGAAUCUGUGUAGCUGAUUUCAAUGGAGAGUUUCUGAGCUCUAGCUUCGUAGCUAGAGUGUUUGAAGUAAAUAAAAGUACGUUUUUCUCUCUAUAAUAUAUAAACUUUUAUAUCUCUAUAUAUCUAUAUUGUAUCUAUCAUUUUACGAGUUAUGAUAGGGAAUAUCUGUUACAAUCUACAUAAUUGUAAUCAUAGCAAAAUAAAUAUGUUUUAAUCCAAAACAUCUGGAUACAAUCAUGUUAGCUAACCUCUCUAAAGAAUGCUCUAGAAUGUACUAGAGUUUCUAGAGUCUAGACUAGAGUUUCUAGAACGUCUUAGAGAUUCUAAAAUGUUUCUAGAAUGUUCUCCUCUGGCUUGGUAAAGCAAGCAGCUCAAUGCUAAACAUGUGAUGGAGAAUCAGAAAGACAGAGAGACUAGACAGCUAGUGGAGAGCUCUUGGGGAUGUGAGGUGGAGCUCGUUCACAACAUAGAGGUAGAAAGAGGGCUCUAGGUGGAUAUAACCCGAUAUAAGUCCUCUUUCUAACUCUAUGGUUCACAGCCAGCUGUAAAUCAGAUACUGUGUGGAGGUCUGACGGUUGGUUGGUUGGCCGGUUGAUUUGGCUAUGACUGGGGCGCACUCAGUAGGACACAAUGUUUUUGGAACGCUCGGAUAGAAAAAUGCUAUUUAGAACAAACAUGCGUCUCUUACACGUAGAAUGAAGAACCAUGUCGGCUCUGUUAAUGACAUUUCUAUCUGCAACGUUUGACAACAUUUGGCUACUGAACGUGGCCCCGGUUCUCUGUCUACCACUGAGGGGGGACCUAUCAGAGGUAAAGAGCUGCGUUACACAACGCUACACAGUUCUAUCUGUGUUGCUCACAAUCACAAUCCGACAUCUAACCCCUCCCUGAAAAGUUUAUGCGUGUUGCAUGUAUCGGACCCGGUUAAAGGCGUUUUGGAACAGUUUGGGAGCAGUUUGGGAACAGUUUGGGAACAGUUUGAACAGAACCCAAGGAAAAUAAACGAUGAAAACUAGAUGACACAGCAGAUUGAAACUCCAAAAAACAUGACAACAGAUCUACGGCAAACAACUAUCAUCAUUCAUCGUUUAGCAUUGACAUUGAUAUCAGUAUUUAUAGGACUAUCAUCAUUAUUAACAAUACAAAUCAAUUAUUUAAAGAGGUUGAAGUUUUCUCUCCUCAUAGCUCUCUCAAUUCUUACUUAUUCCUCAAAACAACUCAGGAAUAUCUUAGUACAACAGGAGUAUCUUAGUAAAAUUUAGGAGUAUCUCAGGAACAUAGGAGUACUUUCAAGAUAAGAAAAUGGUAGCUUUAAAACCCUAUUGGGUGGAAAUCAAACUUAAAAAAGGUUGUCCAUCGGAUCCUUAGGGUGAUAUAGAACAAACAUUUACUCAAUAAACAAACGCAUGAUGAUAGACAGAGUCAGAGAGAGAGAGAGAGAGAGUCAGAAAAAGAGAACUUCUUCAAUCAAAAUCUAAAAUGUAAAUGUUCUAUAAACCCAAUAUGCCCCCAUAUCCCCAACAGUAGAUUUUCUCUCUAGGUAUUUUUUUGUUGUUAAAUUCCUUCAUGCAUCAUAACGGAUUAACAGAGGCUUGAGCGAAUGCAACAGAAGAACCAAGCUGCAAUGUCCAAGAAGAAGAACUAGAAGAAGAAGAAGUAAUCGAUAGAAGAAAUACUGAAGAAAUCGUCUUUUCCCUCCCCUUCUUUCUUUCCGCUCCUCCUCCCAUCAUUUUCCUUUCCUGUCCUUUCUUUUUCGGCAGGAUGGAGGAGAGAGGAAGGGGGGAGAGAAGAUAGUGGGGGCAAACAAACUACGCCCCCUAAGGGUCCAUAACUCUGCCCCCAGCCCCUCCCCUGUGGCCCCACCCACCGGAAAAGGACGUGAUGUCACACUAGGCCCCACCCACAGGAAGUGAGGUCACACCAGGUCCGUCGUCAGCAUUUCGUGAGUCUGUAACAGUAAACAGGAGAUGAUAAAACUCAUCAAAUAUCAGCCAGCUCUGUCAUUGGCUGGUUUUUGCAGUAGAGGCGGAGCUUCCUGGUUCUAGUCCCUUUAAGGAAAGUUUAAGUUAAAGUGGUUGUUCUCCCUUUUUUUCUCCUCUUUUUUUUUAAAAGUUUGUUUUCUGUUCUUUAGUCUUCAAGUUAGAUUUUUCUGGAGGCAUAGCUUGGCGUGUAUAAGGAUAGGGGGUCCUGGCAUGGGUUUUCAUUGUUUUUCUUUUUUAAACAUGUCCGUCUAGGUUAGACCAAGAGCAGUGUUAGCUAGCUAGCGUUUAGCUGUUAGCUCCUAACACUUAUCAGGCUAGUAGAAUAGAAUGACAGAACAGCAAGAGCACCCAGGUUUAGCUUAACUUAACUAACCCACCUAUCUCCUAAACAGUCUGGGAGAGGGGCUUUAUUUACCGUUCAUUGGCCACUUGUAACUUAGUAUACAUGCUCCUCCCUUCCUUUCAUUCUUUUGUUCUUUCUUCCCUCUCCACACCUCCGUCAGCACCUCUGCACACCUCCGUCAGCACCUCUCCACCAUCCCUCGGUCCACUCCCCCCUGGGCACGCUGAGAACUCUCGGUAUGGUAGUUGAGACAGAGGAGAAGAGGAGAGGUGCGUUGUUCUGCCUUACAGCGGUCUCUCUUUGUCAUGUCUGCUCUGAGUUUAGAGUCUCACACACCCACACACUGUGCCUCCUCUCCUCUAACCAUCCCUCCAUCCCUCAUCAUUCCAUCCAAGCCUGAGUCUCAGGUGUAGAGGUAGAGAGAUGGAGAGACUUCUCCCAAAUUCUCCUCUCCUCCUUUCCUUUCCUUUCCUCACCCCUUCUGCAUCCCUUUACCCUUCAUUCAAGUCUGCAUAACGAAGAACAGAGGACGGGGAGACGGAGAGACUCCUCUCCUCCCUCCUUUUCCUCUCUUCCUCUCCUCCCUCGUUCUUCUGUUCCUUCGCUGUGCUAGCACCAGUCGUCCUCGUCCGUCUCGCUGUAGGGUUCGUGCAGGCCCUUCCGGGGGCCUCUGGGGCCUCCAUGGGGGACCCGGUGAUGAGGGGGGGACCUGUGGGGUGGUCCUCCCGGAUGGGGGUGUUGAUGUGGGGGCCCUCGCCGGUGCGGGGAGGGCGAAGACGAGCGGUAACCGUUUGGGACUCGUCGGGGGUGAGGGGGAGCAAGUGGAGGUGGUGGGCCCACGCCACCCCCGUGCCGGGCAGUCCUGGGGGAGCGUGGGUGCGGGUGGGGGUUGCCGUGGGGAUGUGGGUUGCUGAGGCUCUGCUC